rnacentral:rRNA from 1 species
AACGAACGCUGGCGGCAGGCCUAACACAUGCAAGUCGAGCGAGGACUUCGGUCCUAGCGGCGGACGGGUGAGUAACGCGUGGGAACGUGCCCUUUGCUUCGGAAUAGCCCUGGGAAACUGGGAGUAAUACCGGAUGAGCCCUUUGGGGGAAAGAUUUAUCGGCGAAGGAUCGGCCCGCGUUGGAUUAGGUAGUUGGUGGGGUAAUGGCCUACCAAGCCGACGAUCCAUAGCUGGUUUGAGAGGAUGAUCAGCCACACUGGGACUGAGACACGGCCCAGACUCCUACGGGAGGCAGCAGUGGGGAAUCUUAGACAAUGGGGGAAACCCUGAUCUAGCCAUGCCGCGUGAGCGAUGAAGGCCUUAGAGUUGUAAAGCUCUUUCAGCUGGGAAGAUAAUGACGGUACCAGCAGAAGAAGCCCCGGCUAACUCCGUG